rnacentral:rRNA from 1 species
UAGCAUAUAACUAAGCGGAGGAAAAGAAAUCAACAGAGAUUCCCCUAGUAACGGCGAGCGAACGGGGAUGAGCCCAUCGCCCAAUCCGCCGCCUAAAUGGCGGACCGGAAAUUUGGCGUAUAGGAGAGACGCUUCCGGGCACCGACUCCGGUGCAAGUCCCCCUGACUGGGGCUCUUACCCCGAGAGGGUGCAAGGCCCGUAGCGGCCGGAAGGCGGUCCCGGAUGUCCUCUCCUGGGAGUCGGGUUGCUUGAGAGUGCAGCCCUAAUCAGGUGGUAAACUCCAUCUAAGGCUAAAUACGACCUGGAGACCGAUAGCGAACAAGUACCGUGAGGGAAAGUUGAAAAGGACUUUGAAGAGAGAGUUCAAGAGUACGUGAAACCGUUCGGAGGUAAACGAGUGGGCCCUCGAAGUGAGAAGGCGGGGGGACUCAGCCGAACGUCGCGAGUCCGCCGGCACUUCCGCGUUUCCCAACCAGGACGCGGCGGGUCGGUAUGUGGCUCCGGCGCGCGGCGCAUUUCCUCCCGUCCUCCGACGCUGCGACCGGUCGGGUGAGCCACGAGCAGUCGGCCUUACUCGCGGGAACUGGAAGGUAACCGGGACGGCGCUUCGGCGCCGAUCCCCGGUGUUUGUCCUUCCCGCAAUCGAGUAGCCGUUCGCCCGACCGCAGGACGUGGCCCUCAGGGGCCUCGCCGAGCCCUCUCCCCUACGGGGGAGAUCGGAGCUCGCCUCGGAAGGGAGGCCGUCGCACAUCCCUUGUCACACCAUAGGUGGGCCUGGGGCGGCGGUCCCCGCUAGCCGGGGCGAUUUCGAGCGGGCGCAGGCGGUCCGCAGCGAGUAGGUCGGUCACCCACUCGACCCGUC